rnacentral:ncRNA from 1 species
AAGAGUUUGAUCCUGGCUCAGAAUGAACGCUACUAGUUAACUUUACACAUGCAAGUCAAUUAAAUUUUUUUAUUUAAAAAAGGCGUACGGGUGAGUAUAACAUAAAAACUUACCUUUUUAAUUACUAAAUAAUUGAAAAGAAAGGUUUAUGAAAGAUUAAGUAGUUGAUAAAGAAAAUAAUCAAGCUUAUAAUCUUUAGCUGAUCUGUGAGGAUGACCAGCCACAUUGGAACUGAGACAAGGUCCAAACUUCUUUAAGAAGGCAGCAGUGGGGAAUAUUGGACAAUGAGCGCAAGCUUGAUCCAGUUAAACUAGGUGUAUGAAGAUGAUGUUUAAUCUUAAAAUACAUUAAAAAUUUAAAUAAUGAUUAAGUUUUUGUCAGUUCUGGCUAAUCUUGUGCCAGCAGCCGCGGUAAUACAAGAAGAGCAAGCGUUAUUCGGAAUGAUUGGGCGUAAAGGAUAUGUAGGUUGUUAAUUAAUUAGUUGAUUAAAUAUUAAAAUAAACUUUAUAAUGUUAACUAAAAAAAAUUAUCUCGAGUUCAACUAAAGAUUUAGGAACUUUAAAUGUAACGGUAAAAUGUGAUGAUAUUUAAAAGAACUUCAAUAGCGAAAGCAAUGAUCUAAUUUGAUACUGACAUUGAAAUAUUUAAGCAUGGGUAGCGAAAGGGAUUAGAUACCCCUGUAGUCCAUGCCUUGAACGAUGAGUGCUAAUUUUAUAAUUUUUAUAAAGUAAAGUCAACACGUUAAGCACUCCGCCUGGGAACUACGAUCGCAAGAUUAAAACUCAAAGGAAUUGACGGGGAUCUAAACAAGCAGUGGAGCAUGUGGUUUAAAUCGAUAAUACGCGCGAAACCUUACCAGUCUUUGUAUAUAUUUGAUACAGGUGUUGCAUGGCUGUCGUCAGUCCGUGUCGUGAGAUGUUUGAUUAAUUUCAACAAACGGACGAAACUCUUAUGUAAAACUUACAAACCACUAAAGAUAUUUUAGAGGAAGAAAAGAACAACGUCAAGUCUUUAUGACCCUUAUAGUCUGGGCUACUUUCAUGUGCUACAAUAAUUAUAUCAAAGUGUAAUUUAACGUAAGUUGUAAUAAUCCACGAAAAAUAAUUAUUACGAAUUACUAUCUGAAACUCGAAAGUAUGAAGUUGGAAUUGCUAGUAAUCGCAAAUGAGAAUGUUGCGGUGAAUACGUUCUUAGAUCUUGUACACACCGCCCGUCACGCUAUGGAAAUUUUGAAAAUUUGAAAACUAAAGAUAUGAGUUUAUAAUCUAAAAACAACUAAAGUGAAGUCGUAACAAGGUAGCCGUAGGGGAACCUGUGGCUGGAA